CACAUGCAGUCGAGGGGCAGCAUAAUGGAUAGCAAUAUCUAUGGUGGCGACCGGCGCACGGGUGCGUAACGCGUAUGCAACCUACCUUUAACAGGGGGAUAACACUGAGAAAUUGGUACUAAUACCCCAUAAUAUCAUAGAAGGCAUCUUUUAUGGUUGAAAAUUCCGAUGGUUAGAGAUGGGCAUGCGUUGUAUUAGCUAGUUGGUGGGGUAACGGCUCACCAAGGCGACGAUACAUAGGGGGACUGAGAGGUUAACCCCCCACACUGGUACUGAGACACGGACCAGACUCCUACGGGAGGCAGCAGUGAGGAAUAUUGGUCAAUGGACGCAAGUCUGAACCAGCCAUGCCGCGUGCAGGAUGACGGCUCUAUGAGUUGUAAACUGCUUUUGUACGAGGGUAAACGCAGAUACGUGUAUCUGUCUGAAAGUAUCGUACGAAUAAGGAUCGGCUAACUCCGUGCCAGCAGCCGCGGUAAUACGGAGGAUUCAAGCGUUAUCCGGAUUUAUUGGGUUUAAAGGGUGCGUAGGCGGUUUGAUAAGUUAGAGGUGAAAUUUCGGGGCUCAACCCUGAACGUGCCUCUAAUACUGUUGAGCUAGAGAGUAGUUGCGGUAGGCGGAAUGUAUGGUGUAGCGGUGAAAUGCUUAGAGAUCAUACAGAACACCGAUUGCGAAGGCAGCUUACCAAACUAUAUCUGACGUUGAGGCACGAAAGCGUGGGGAGCAAACAGGAUUAGAUACCCUGGUAGUCCACGCAGUAAACGAUGAUAACUCGUUGUCGGCGAUACACAGUCGGUGACUAAGCGAAAGCGAUAAGUUAUCCACCUGGGGAGUACGUUCGCAAGAAUGAAACUCAAAGGAAUUGACGGGGGCCCGCACAAGCGGAGGAACAUGUGGUUUAAUUCGAUGAUACGCGAGGAACCUUACCCGGGCUUGAAAGU
rnacentral:rRNA from 1 species